AUGGAGUUUGUGAUUGGCUGGAUUAUCAUUAUUACUCUUUUAAAAGGUGUCCAGUGUGAGGUGCAGCUGGUGGAGUCUGGGGGAGACCUGGUGAAGUCUGGGGGGUGGUUCCUGAGCCUCUCUUGUGCAGCCUCUGGAUUCACCUUCAGUAAUAAUGACAUGUACUGGGUCCAACAGCCUCCAGGGAAGGGACUGCAGGGGGUUGCAUAUAUUAGCAGUGGUGGUAGUUACACACACUAUACAGACUCUGUGAAGGGUCGAUUCACUAUCCCCAGAGACAACGGCAAGAGCACGCUCUAUUUGCAGAUGAGCAGUCUGAGAGCCGAGGACACAACCGUGUAUUACUGUGCAAGAGAUACAUAUGUGGUCUAUUCUGGAGAAGGU